AGCAGUACCCAGUCGAUGUGCAGGGGUACGAGGUAAUAACAUGGCUAUAUACAGGGAGUAGCAGUACCCAGUCGAUGUGCAGGGGUACGAGGUAAUAACAUGGCUAUAUACGGGGAGUAGCAGUACCCAGUCGAUGUGCAGGGGUACGAGGUAAUAACAUGGCUAUAUACGGGGAGUAGCAGUACCCAGUCGAUGUGCAGGGGUACGAGGUAAUAACAUGGCUAUAUACGGGGAGUAGCAGUACCCAGUCGAUGUGCAGGGGUACGAGGUAAUAACAUGGCUAUAUAUGGGGAGUAGCAGUACCCAGUCGAUGUGCAGGGGUACGAGGUAAUAACAUGGCUAUAUACGGGGAGUAGCAGUACCCAGUCGAUGUGCAGGGGUACGAGGUAAUAACAUGGCUAUAUACGGGGAGUAGCAGUACCCAGUCGAUGUGCAGGGGUACGAGGUAAUAACAUGGCUAUAUACGGGGAGUAGCAGUACCCAGUCGAUGUGCAGGGGUACGAGGUAAUAACAUGGCUAUAUACGGGGAGUAGCAGUACCCAGUCGAUGUGCAGGGGUACGAGGUAAUAACAUGGCUAUAUACGGGGAGUAGCAGUACCCAGUCGAUGUGCAGGGGUACGAGGUAAUAACAUGGCUAUAUACGGGAGUAGCAGUACUGAGUGGGUG